rnacentral:ncRNA from 1 species
UAAAAGUUUUAUUUUAGCUUAAAAAAUUUAUUUUUAAUUUAUAUUAUAUGUAAAUUUUUGUGUGAUUAAGUAUUUAUUUAAAAAGUAAAUAUAUUUUAUUUAUUUGCAAUAAUUAAUAUUAUUAAUUAAAGAAAUUUAAAAAUAGAAAUAUUAAUUUAUAUUGACUUAAUUUGUGCCAGCAGUUGCGGUUAUACAAAUAAUGUGAAUAAAUUUUAUUAAUAAUAGUUAAAUAUUAUUUUAUGAAAAGAGAAAUUAUUUUAUUAAGUGAAAUUUUAAUUUAAUUUUAAUUUUUGAGUUAAUUUUAAUUGAAGCUAAAAAAUUUUAAAAAUAAACUAGGAUUAGAUACCCUAUUAUUUAAAAUAUAAGUUAAUUUAUUUGAGUAGUAUUAGAUAUGAUCUUGAAACUUAAAAAAUUUGGCGGUAUUUUAGUCUAUUCAGAGGAACUUGUUUUGUAAUCGAUAAUCCGCGUUGUACCUUACUUAAAUUUGUUAAUCAAUUUAUAUAUCGUUGUUAUUAGAAUAUUUUAUAAGAAUAAUAAUUUUCUAUAAUUUAUAUCAAAAUUAAUAUCAAAUCAAGGUGUAGUUUAUAUUUAAGUUUAAAUGAGUUACAAUAAAAUUAUUUUUUGGAUAUAAAUAUGAAAAAAUUAUUGAAAUUGGAUUUGAUAGUAAAAUUAUAGAGAUUAAUAAUUUGAUUUUAGCUCUAAAAUAUGUACAUAUCGCCCGUCGCUCUUGUUAUUAAAAUAAGAUAAGUCGUAACAUAGUAGAUGUACUGGAAAGUGUAUCUAGAAU